rnacentral:tRNA from 1 species
GAGGAUAUAGCUCAGUGGUAGAGCACCUGCUUAGCACGCAGAAGGUCCUGGAUUCAAUCCCCAGUACCUCU